GCCCCGAUGAGACACAGCAGCUCCAUGGCAGUGUGAGUGUCCAGGCCAAGCCGAGGUCCCAGCCACAACAGCGUGGGAGAGGAGAGCAGCUGCUCCACCAGAGGCUUUCCGCUGUAUCGCAGCUGCCAGCGCGCAGGGAGCAGCCCCUCAUUUCCAUACAGACCUGCACACAAACACGGAAAGCAACAGUGUUGAUUAUGCUGGUGGUUGCUUGUAAAUUUGGCCCAGUUGCAGGCUGACCGUGCCCGGGAUGAAGAAACUUCCAGGCGGUUCUUCACCACGUCUAACGGCGUGGAAAGCAGAGGAACACACACAGGAAGCGCCAAGUUCCCAGCUAAAAGGCUAACACAUACCAUUAAGGGAAGUCAGCUAACCGCUUCUUGGGCUGCAGAGUUGAGACGCUCACCUGGUAUCUGCACGUAGAGGGAAACAAAA